UCCGAGUUGACCCCGGCAGUCUCCCACGAGUCCCCGGCAUGAUCCGCUGGCAACAUGGGAUAAGGGUUGCGCUCGUUGCGGGACUUAACCCAACAUCUCACGACACGAGCUGACGACAACCAUGCACCACCUGUACACCGACCUUACGGGGAGCACAUCUCUGCACUUUACCGGUGUAUGUCAAGCCUUGGUAAGGUUCUUCGCGUUGCAUCGAAUUAAUCCGCAUGCUCCGCCGCUUGUGCGGGCCCCCGUCAAUUUCUUUGAGUUUUAGCCUUGCGGCCGUACUCCCCAGGCGGGGCACUUAAUGCGUUUGCUGCGGCACAGGACCCGUGGAAUGGACCCCACACCUAGUGCCCAACGUUUACGGCAUGGACUAC
rnacentral:misc_RNA from 1 species